AAAAACAUCGCCUCUUGACAAAAUAUAAGAGGUCCAGCCUGCCCAGUGACAAAGUUAAACGGCCGCGGUACCCUAACCGUGCGAAGGUAGCGCAAUCACUUGUUCUUUAAAUGAGGACUAGUAUGAAUGGCAUCACGAGGGUUGCACUGUCUCCCCUUUUUAAUCAAUGAAACUGACCCCCCCGUGAAGAGGCGGGGAUAUAACUAUAAGACGAGAAGACCCCAUGGAGCUUUAAACUCAGUAUCAACCGCCUAACAACACAUCAUUACAAUUUGGCAGAUCUGAUUACUAGUUUUCGGUUGGGGUGACCGCGGAGUAAAACAAAACCUCCACGAUGAAAGGACCUAUACUCCUAAUCAUAGAGCCACAGCUCAAAGAAUCAAAAAACUGACAUAAAUUGAUCCAAUUAAUUUGAUCAACGAACCAAGUUACCCUGGGGAUAACAGCGCAAUCCACUUCAAGAGCCCCUAUCGACAAGUGGGUUUACGACCUCGAUGUUGGAUCAGGGUAUCCCAGUGGUGCAGCCGCUACUAAAGGUUCGUUUGUUCAACGAUUAAAACCCUACGUGAUCUG
rnacentral:rRNA from 1 species